rnacentral:sRNA from 1 species
GCUGGGCAUGGUAGCUCAUGCCUGUAAUCUCAGCAGCUCAGGAGGCUGAGACAGGAGGAUUGCAAGUUCAAGGCCAGCCUCAGCAACUUAGCAAGGCCCUGAGCAACUUAAUGAGAAUCCUGUCUCAA